UGGGGAAUAUUGCACAAUGGGCGAAAGCCUGAUGCAGCGACGCCGCGUGAGGGAUGACGGCCUUCGGGUUGUAAACCUCUUUCAGUAGGGACGAAGCGCAAGUGACGGUACCUGCAGAAGAAGCACCGGCUAACUACGUGCCAGCAGCCGCGGUAAUACGUAGGGUGCGAGCGUUGUCCGGAAUUACUGGGCGUAAAGAGCUCGUAGGCGGUUUGUCACGUCGUCUGUGAAAUCCUAGGGCUUAACCCUGGGCGUGCAGGCGAUACGGGCUGACUUGAAUACUACAGGAGAGGCUGGAAUUUCUGGUGGAGGGGUGGAAUGCACAGGAGUCAGGAAGAACACCGAUGGCGAAGGCAGGUCUCUGGGUAGUAACUGACGCUGAGGAGCGAAAGCAUGGGUAGCGAACAGG
rnacentral:rRNA from 1 species